GCGCUCAGAUGCCCCAGCUCAGCCGAGAGGCCGCUCGCGCCGGGUCCUUCCUCUUCCCCAAGUGCAGGCAGAGCCCCCGGAGCCAUGGCCAGUCCUUCCGGCAGCUCCGAAGCCACUGGCAAGACCCGAGGCAGGGAUGGCCGGCCCAGGAGGGAGGAGGACGACGUCCCUCCCGAGGAGAAGAGGCUGCGGCUGUUGCUGGAGGGAGGGGGGAAGGGCACAGCCCGAGGACUGCGAGGACGGAGAGGACGCGCCGCGGCCGGGCAGGGAGGAGACCGGCACCCAGACAGGUGGCGACGGCAGAGGAGUAAGUGACGCGGGCGCAGGGGUCCGGGGGUGCCGGGGGCGCGGGGGUGCUGGGGACGCGGGGUAGGGGCGGCGGGAGGCUCCGUGGCCGGCCCCGGGUUGAAGUUGGUAACUGAGCGGCAACUCCGGCGGGCGCGGAGUGACAGCUCGUGACGGCCUCCGAGAUGUCAGCUGUCCCUUCUCGGCUGUGUGGCUUCGACUUCCUGAUUCUCCCACGACGUCCCUGGCCGGGAGACCAGCUGGACUCUGCGGCUAGCCAAAAGGGGAGGGGGAGCCCCGCGUCCUGGGGGCCCCCAGCAGGGGAAGGGGCGGGGGUUGCUCUGGGCAUCCUGUCUGGGUCAUCUGUCUGGGACUCUGUCGGUGCCUCUCACCUGGCGAGGGGCUUGUGGUGGGGGUAGGGGGAAAGUCCCUGGCGCCAGGCUUGGCCAAGCCCUGCUCUGCUGGGCUGCGGGCUGGCGGCGCUCACCCAGCUCCUCACCUGCCCCGCAUCUUCCUGUUUUUCUUCCCUUUCUUGUUGAGCAGCGAGAGUUGAGAGGAGGCAGAUGGCUUCCAUCCCAAAAAUCGCUCUCCUCUUUCCAUCCCUACAGAGAGGGACAGAGAGGCAAAGUUCCUUGCAUCCCCCGGGGCGCUGUCCCUGUGAGCUCCCGGUGUCUUGCACACGUGGGCCCCUGAGUCACCGGGCCUGUGUGUGUGCGAUGGGGCUCUGUGGUCAGCCUGUCCUCCUGGGGUUCACUUUCUGCUUUCCUACCCCAACUCUUCCUGUGUGGCUUUGCUGGCCUUCCAGUGGGAGGCACGUGGGUUUGGAGGGCAGAUGAGGGCCCACUGGAGAGCUGUACCCCUCAGUGAGGGCCGCCACCUUGAUGGUUUUUGAUGGAUAAUGGGAUUGACCUCUUUGUUCCUUCCACAUGUUUUUAUGUUUGACCAUUUGCUCAGCUGAGCUCGUCUUAAUAAUUUGAUUCGUGGUUAAUGAGCCCCACAUGGGAGAGAGGGCGGCCUUCAUUCUGAACCCAUUGAAGCAGCACGGGCAGCCCUCUUCGCCAUGGGCUGCAUCAGAGCCCCCGCUGCCCAGUCUUGGGGUUGCCCCUGGAUGCUCUCUGGGAGGCUUGCUCAUGGUGACAUCCUCAUCUCCCCGUGCACUUUACUGCAUUCAGAGCUUGGGUCACCUGGACACUGAACUCAGGUGAAUUUUCUCUGAGAUCCCGGGAGAAGGAGGACAGUUCUCUGGAAGGUUUUCCAGGGCCGAUCACGGAAAGGAUGAGAAGGGAGAGGUCCUGGUCGGGGACACAAUUACGGUGGCAGUGUAACGCUGGAAAACUUUAUUGCCUGAAGUCCCUCUCACUCUCUCUACCUCCCUCUUUUACGUGGACACUGCCAAAGACCAGGAUACCAGAAUGCAGUGGAGUGACCAAGUGUAGUGGGACCUUGGGAACGCGAGUCUGGAACCAGGCGGCUGGGGUUUGCAUCCCGGUUCUGCCCCUCCUUAGCUGGCUGACAUGGCACAAGCCACUUACCCUCUCUGAGCCUUACUGUCUUCAGUGGCAGAUGGAUCGGUCAACAGGCCCCAUUGCCUGGGUUUGUUACUGAUGAGAUUAAGGGAAGCUCGUCCAUAGAAGCACUUAGCAUUGUGCCUGGCACAUAGUGUAUGGUGGAUAAAUGGGACUUAGGACUGAAACUCAUGCCUUGGUUUGUUUUUGCAGUGAAGUUUUGUUCUGGGGUGCAUCACAAGAGACAAGGUUCUUGGCUGGGUGUGGUGGCUCAAGCCAAUAAUCCCAGAACUUUGAGAGCCCAGGAGUUUAAGACCAGCCUGGGCAACGUGGUGAAGCCUCAUAUCUACCAAAAAAAAAAAAAAAAAAAAAAAAAGCCAGGUAUGGUGGUGUGUGCCUGUAAUCCCAAGUACUUGGGAGGCUGAGGUGGGAGGAUUGCUAGAGCCUGGAAGGUCCAGCUGCAGUGAGCUGUGAUCAUGCCACUGCACUCCAGCCUAAGUGGCAAAGUGAGACCCUGUUUCAAGGAAAAGAGAGAGAGAGAGAGACAGACCCACAAGUGUCUUAAGCCAGAAUCUCCAUGUUAAAAUGCUUUCUGGAGGCUGAAAGAAUGACAUAUUGAUAAUGAAAUAUUUAAAAGGCAGAAACCCCACUGAAUUUCUUGGUCCACAGAGGGAAAUGGGAAUCGCAUGACCUGAAGGAUGAUGCAGGAACUGAACAGAAACCAUCCUUGUUUCCUGAAUCUGAAUAUGGCACCCUCUUUUCACGGUGUCUGUAUCUGCUCGUCCAGCAGCCGCUCGAAAAGAGGGAAUCUUGAUUUUCAAAUUUAAAAUUUGGCCCAAAGCCCACUGCUGCCCACAAUGCCCGCCAGACACAUUCCUCUUCCCUUUUAGUUUCUAUGGGAAUACUCUCUUUGAAGAACCCAUGAAGCAGUGUCAGGCUGGUGUGAGGAUCAGCAGCCGUUUCUUUGAGGAGGAGAGCCUGUUUCUUCACUCACAGGCCAUGUCUGAGUGGAUCAAGAAGAACAGAGUGCCCUUUUAUGAGAUUUUUCUGCGUAGACCAUUAACUUGGUAAAAAUGUCGAAACCAUCCUCGUUCUUUAAUAGAUUAUUUUGGACUUUUCUUUGCAAGAAGCAGCAUGGGCAUUCAGAUGCUUUUAAGGAUAAAAUGUUCUUUCUCAUCCCCAGGCCUGGUGCUCUGGAUGGCUGAGGUUUUAAUGUGACUGGAUGUCCCUUGGAGUGGCUCCCAGGCUGUGAUCUUGUGGUUGGGUGGCAAGGGGUUGCUUUAUUCGCUGGUGGCUAGAGGAUGUUUUAACAGGUAAAUCAGGCCCCCAGGAGCCCCUGAGUGCCAAGUCCUGCUGCAGGGCAUGUGUUUAUGGUGGGGAGGUGGGGGGGGGUGGAG
rnacentral:lncRNA from 1 species